AACGAACGCUGGCGGCGUGCCUAACACAUGCAAGUCGAACGAGAAAGGGGCUUCGGCUCCGAGUAAAGUGGCGCACGGGUGAGUAACACGUGGGUAACCUGCCUCUAAGAUUGGGAUAACUCGUCGAAAGAUGAGCUAAUACCGAAUAAGACCACAGUUCCCGCGGGAACAGGGGUCAAAGGUAGCCUCUGCUUGCAAGCUAUCACUUAGAGAUGGGCCUGCGCACCAUUAGCUAGUUGGUAGGGUAACGGCCUACCAAGGCAAAGAUGGUUAGCUGGUCUGAGAGGAUGAUCAGCCACACUGGAACUGAGACACGGUCCAGACUCCUACGGGAGGCAGCAGUGGGGAAUAUUGCGCAAUGGGCGAAAGCUUGACGCAGCAACGCCGCGUGAGUGAUGAAGGCCUUCGGGUCGUAAAGCUCUGUCGGGAGGAACGAAUGCUCCUGAGGUUAACAGCCUCGGGAGGUGACGGUACCUUAAAAGGAAGCACCGGCUAACUCUGU
rnacentral:rRNA from 1 species